GGAGGAUCAGGAGCAUCAGAACCCUACCACAGAUUGUCUCUGGGAAAAUCAAGGCAUCACAACUCACCAGAAGUAGCUGGAUCUAACUACGAUUGAGAACCAAGCUUUUCGCAUUGUCAUUGGAUUCACCAGAAGGGCAAAGCCAGAAGAAAUAUGCGAAAUACCCUGACCAGCUCGGGUAGGACUCUGCUAGCAAGGCAGAAUCUCCAGGAAUGAUGCAUCUUUUUGAAUGAAGAUGGACCCAUCACCAAUUUAACACUGAACAAAUGAAAAUACCAGUGAUGACAAGGAGGAAAAGACUCAGCCGGGACAAAAUAGGAGAGGAUGAGCAUCAUAACUGAAGCUGCUUGUUGGUGGGAAACACAAGCGAAGAUGUCUCUGGGAAAACCAAGGCAUCAAAGUCAAUGUAAACUUUAUUGUCAAUUCAAAUAAUGCAACAAGUAGUUACACAGAGGAUUGAAAUUGCAUUUCCCCAUACUCCAAAUGUGCAAGUAAUAUUUAUAACACAGACAGAUUUUAUACCAAUAAAGAUAGACGAUGGACAUAUACAUUAUAUAAAAUAUUCACAGUGUGCUAGAGUGUAAUAAAAUUUUGAGGUAUGUUAUUAAGGUGCAAUCACAACUCACCAGAUGUAGAUGGAUCUAACUACGAUUGAGAACCAAGCUUUUUGCAUUGUCAUUGGAUUCACCAGAAGGGCAAAGCCAGAAGAAAUAUGUGAAAUACCCUGACCAGCUCAGGGAGGACUCUGCUAGCAAGGCAGAAUCUCCAGGAAUGAUGCAUCUUUUUGGCUGAAGAUGGACCCAUCACCAAUUUAACACUGAACAAAUGAAAAUACAAGUGAUGAUGAGGAGGAAAAGACCCAUCCAGGACAAAAUAGGAGUGCAUGAGAAUCAUAACUGAAGCUGCUUGUUGGUGGGAAACACAAGCGAAGAUGUUAAAGAGAUCAAGGUGUGCCCUCCAAGAGAGGAUUUGGCAGCUGAAGACGGGCCCGCGGUGGGUGCCGGAGGAUGGACUUGCCCCGUGGUGGGUACCAGAAAGAAGUUGAAGAGGAGGAGCAAGUGGCAAAGAUACUGAUGACAAAUUACCCAAUUUCGUCACCCAAGCGAGACGGAUAAAGAGAGUGAGCUGGUCCCUCAUGGAGCGAGGAAGACAGAUGGAGCCGUCUCAGAGUGGACUCAACAGCUGAAGACGGGCCCUUGGUGGGUUCCGGAACUCAAAGAGAAGUCGAAGAGGAGCAAGUGCCAAUGGUAGUUAUGACAAAUGCAGAAAGCAACACCUGAAAUCCAAGAUAUCUCUGGUAAUGAAGUCUCUCCUUGUCACAGCACCCAACCCACACCCAAGUCAACACUGGAUUAAAUGAGGAAGGAACAUUCAGGGUAGGAACAGCAGCAUCAGAAGACUACCAUGGAUUGUCACUGGGAAAACCAAUUCAUCACAACUGACCAGAAGUAGCUGGUGCUAACGGUGAUUGAAAAUCAAGCUGGUCUCUUUGCAGUGUCAUAGGAUUUGCCAUAAGGCCAAAGCCAGAAGAAAGAUGUCAAACAGCCUGACCAGCUCAGAGAGGAUUCUGCUGGCAAGAUAGAAUCUCUGUAAAUUUCACAUCUUUUUACCAAUGAACAGAGCCCUCACCAAUUCAACCGGUCAAAAGAUAGCACAUGCUAAGCAAUAACAAAUAAAGAAAUUGUUAUAUUGGCAUAUACUGGAGUUGAUAUCCAUUACAGGAAUCGAAUAGAUAUCUUGUCUUAUAUUAUUAGUUUUUCGGAAGGUAGACCAUGAUAAUAGAAAAAUAGUUUUUGUGGAGAAGCCAUUGUGAUGCAGUCUGUUGUGGUUUAAAAGGAGUGUGUUGCUGGUGCAAUGUGGUUCAAGAAGCUGAUGGUUGACGGGGAGAUUUUGUUCUUGAACUUUGAAAGACCAGUCCUUGGGCUGCUGAGAGUCGUUUAAGAGGCACCAUAAAGAGCUGCAAUUUGCAUUUUUAGUCUGGAUGCCUUUUUACUUUAUUUGCAUACAUGUGUAGCCUUCAUGUGAUGUUCAGACCAGCAUUUUAUCUUCAGGCUGGGUAGAAAGUUUUUGGUAUUUAGCCACAAUGCAAAGUGAGGAAUGGUGACCAUGAUAACUUGCAGGCUUGUCCUUGUGUGACAUGAACAUAACAUGUUGUAUUGAUUAAUCCAUAUGAUAGUGGAUGGGUGCAAUAUUAAUCUGCUUAUUUACCAAGGUCUAAUGAUAAAUCUGGCAGAAGGUUAAGAAGUUUAUAAUAGUUUGAGGAACCAGAGAUGUGGAACCUAAUGGAUCCCCGGAAGAUCCCCGGAAGUUUUUCUAAAUUAUCCCUGCUUUCAACCCAAUAAUCUCUCCCUAGCUGCAGCACUUUCAAGAAAAUAGAUACUUGAAUGUUAACUCCAACAUUGCAGGAUGUCCCAAACUGCCAGGUGAUGGAAGUGAAACCUCACUUCACACCUCUUGCAAAGCUCAGGUUGCCAGAAGAAAUGUGCAGAAAGUGACACCUGAAAGCCAAGGAAUGUGGGAAUGAAGUCUCUACUUGCCAGAUAACAGAGGCCCAACCUAGUCAACACAGAUUAAAAGUAGGAGGAAAAGGCCCAGCAAUUAACAUACAGGAGGGCAGGAGCGAUAGAGCCCUGACACUUCUCUUCUCUGGGGAAACCAAAGCAUCACCACAGACCAGAAGAGGAUGGAGAUAGUCAUUGGUGAAGUAGGCUGGUCUCCACUGUGCAAUACUAUUAGAUUCACCACAAGGAUUUGGCCGAAUGAAAGAUGUCCAGGAUCCUGACGUGCUCUGGGAGGACACUGCUGGCAAGACAGAAAAAUCCCAGGAUCACAAAAGAAGCACAAUGAAUAACAACUAUCAUUGUUCUGAAGAAGGGUUUCGGCCUGAAACGUUGCCUAUUUCCUUUGCUCCAUAGAUCCUGCUGCACCCGCUGAGUUUCUCCAGCACUUUUGUCUACCUUUGAUUUUCCAGCAUCUGCAUUUCCUUCUUAAACAAUUGGCCAAUAGCCUGUCUGGUUUUUGUCUUUUUAAUUUUUAGUGUGUGAUAUAAGUCUGUAAAUGUUCUCCAGCUUGUUUUAUGUGGGGGGAACUCUGGGUCGGAGCUUCGGAGUCCUCAAGAGUGGACCCAGCGACGAUAGAAUUUGGCCUGGUGCGCGAGGAAGUCGGGUCAGCAGUCGGCAAGAAGGUUGUGCCGGCAGUCAAAGUGGAGGAAGGGGUUGGCGGUGGGUGCCGGAGGUCGGACGCUUCGCCGAGAACAAAGGAGAAUCUGACGUAGGGGGACCGCCAAGAGGGAAAACCAAAGAAGAUGCGGCGGAGAAGGAAGGAGGACCCCGUGUGGGAGAACCGCCGAGAACUAAGGGGGAUUGUCGACAUCUGGUAGCUCCAGACCUCAGCCAACUGCUGCCUCAACCAAGGGCGGAACGGUGGUGCAGCGUAGAGUUGCUUCCUUACAACACCAGAGACCCGGGUUCGAUCCUGACUACGGAUGCUCUCUAUGGAAUUUGUUCAUUCUCCCCGUGACCUGUGUCGGUUUUCUCUGAGAUCUUUGGCUAACUCCCACACUCAAGGCGUACAGGUUUGUAGGUUAAUUGAGUGUGGUAAAAAUUAUAAAUUGCUCCUACUGUGCAUGAUAGUGAUAGUGUUAAUGUGCGGGGAUCGCUGUACGGUAUAGACUCAGUGUGCCGAAGGGCCUGUUUUUGCACUGUAUCUCUAAACUAAAGUAAUUCACUGAUUCUCUUGUGCCCUUGCCUCUGUCUCUGUCUCCGAUUUCACCAACGGAUACGGAGGACCUCCAUUCCCAGUAACCUCCCUCCUUCUAUGUCGUCUUGUGCAAGCCCAAGUCACCAGUCAUCUAUAUUGAUGGACCCACGCUCUAAGAUCUUGGCUACCAUGGACCUUCUGUGGACCAACGAGCUUAACCUGGCCAAUCUGCACACUGACAGUUGCUGCUUGCCCGAGGAGAUCCAGAGCAUCUGCAAUGUUCCCUCGCUCAUUCCAACAAAGCCUCUGCUGGGUUCGAUCCAGAGUAUGAGGCACUGCCCUAACCAUUAGAGAUGGAUGCCAUGUUGAAAAUAACCUCAAGUUUUCAGAAAGGAAUGGAUGGAUCCUGCUUCUUAUUGCUCCCUCCAGCAAGAUGGCGGUGGUACGCUUCACCCUCCAGAUCACCACAACAGCAGUCUGCAGUACCAUCGGGCAGCUCAUUAUGAUGAUGGUAGCCGGAAUCACCAGGACAAUGAUCCAGACAUCCAAUUUGUACAUUGACAUAAUUGAAACCGCCUUAUUGGGUUAAAGCACAGAAUGGAUUUAGAUGAAGGAAAUAAUAUGAGCCACUGAAUUCCAUCAUCACCAAAAAAGCAUACCAUCGUUUCUACUUCCUCAGAAGACAAGGAUAUUUGACAUUAAUUUAAAGACUUACCAACUUCUACAGUUGAACUGUAAAAAACGUACUUCCGGGUUGUAUCACAGCUUGGUUUGGGAACAGGUUUGUCCAAGGCCACAAGAAAUUGCAGAGUUGUGGAUCACUCCAGCACACAGACCAGACUUCCCACCAUUGACUACAUCUACACUUCACUCCCUUGGGAAAACAGCCAACGUACCCAAAGACCUUUUCCACCCUUGUCAUUUCCACUUUUCCCUGUUUCCACCACAAAGAGGAUAUAAAAGCUUGAAAGCGCGUACCUUCAGACUCGGGAACAGCUUCUUCCCCUGUUAUUUGAAUUCUGAACGGUUCUUCCAGAAGCUAAUUUCCAACCAACAUCAUUGUGAACAUUGGACUUUCCUAAUUUCCAACCAACAUCAUUGUGAACAUUGGACUUUCCUAAUUUCCAACCAACAUCAUUGUGAACAUUGGACUUUUCCUAAUUUCCAACCAACAUCAUUGUGAACAUUGGACUUUUCCUAAUUUCCAACCAACAUCAUUGUGAACAUUGGACUUUUCCUAAUUUCCAACCAACAUCAUUGUGAACAUUGGACUUUUUCUCAGAAACGAUUAUGCUACAAUGUUGAGAAAUUGUAUGCUGCACUAUGCAUGUUUCUCCUCUCUCUACUUAUUGUGCUUGUGUAUGGCUUGAUUGUAUUUAUGUACAGUAUUACCUGAUUUAAUUGCAUAGCAUGCAAACAAAAUAUUUUCACUGUAUCUCAGUGCACACAACAAUAAAGCAAUUUAAACUUGUUUUGUGUGCCACAGUAGAUGACUUCACAUUGCCAUAUUAUAUUCCUUCUGUUAUGUUCUGGCCCACACACUCAGCUUGUUUCUAAACCUUUAAAACCUCUUUACAUCCUUCUCACUGCUCAAACAUUUCCCAAGUUUUGUAUCAUCAGUAAAAUUGGAAAUGUGAUAUUUGGCUUCCUCAUCCAACUAGUUGAAGAAGACUGAAUAAUCAGGGUUCCUGUGUUACCCACCUAUCUAUUCCCAAUCCUUGGUUUCUGCCUGUCAGCCAAUUCUCAAUAGCCAGCAGUUUACUACACUAAUCACAUACCUUCUGAAGUUCUAACUGUACCACUGCCAUUGUCCAUUUAACCAACCAUAUCCUCAAAUAUCUUCAAAAAAAUUAACACCAUGCACUUUUCUCGAUUAAACUCCAUUAACUAUUGCUCAGGCCAUUUGCCCAACAGAUUUAGAUCCUGCUGUAAUUUUUGAUAACAAUCUUCACUGUCUAUGAUACCACACACAUUAGUGUAAUCUGCAAAUUCUCAGUCCCAAAAGGCCACUCCAUUACAACUUGCCUUCAUUUAAUGCCUGCUUCAUUAAUCAAUUUUGAUCUCUUUAGCAAGUCUACUGCUGCCUUGAAAUUCCUUGGGAAAGCAGCCAACAUUUGUACAGUUUCAUUCCAUAAUUUGGAAUCCAAUUCAAUUUGCGAUUCACUUUCUAGUUCAUCAGGCCAAAAUAUUUGAGGAGAUUAGGCCA